AGGACGAACGCUGGCGGCGUGCUUAACACAUGCAAGUCGAGCGGAAAGGCCCUUCGGGGUACUCGAGCGGCGAACGGGUGAGUAACACGUGAGUAACCUGCCCCUAGCUCUGGGAUAGCUCCGGGAAACCGGAAUUAAUACCGGAUACGACCACGGCCGACAUCUGCUGUGGUGGAAAGGAUUCCGGCUAAGGAUGGGCUCGCGGCCUAUCAGCUAGUUGGUGGAGUAACGGCCCACCAAGGCGACGACGGGUA
rnacentral:rRNA from 1 species